rnacentral:rRNA from 1 species
GGUUAAGCGACUAAGCGUACACGGUGGAUGCCCUGGCAGUCAGAGGCGAUGAAGGACGUGCUAAUCUGCGAUAAGCGUCGGUAAGGUGAUAUGAACCGUUAUAACCGGCGAUUUCCGAAUGGGGAAACCCAGUGUGAUUCGUCACACUAUCAUUAACUGAAUCCAUAGGUUAAUGAGGCGAACCGGGGGAACUGAAACAUCUAAGUACCCCGAGGAAAAGAAAUCAACCGAGAUUCCCCCAGUAGCGGCGAGCGAACGGGGAGCAGCCCAGAGCCUGAAUCAGUGUGUGUGUUAGUGGAAGCGUCUGGAAAGGCGCGCGAUACAGGGUGACAGCCCCGUACACAAAAAUGCACAUGCUGUGAGCUCGAUGAGUAGGGCGGGACACGUGGUAUCCUGUCUGAAUAUGGGGGGACCAUCCUCCAAGGCUAAAUACUCCUGACUGACCGAUAGUGAACCAGUACCGUGAGGGAAAGGCGAAAAGAACCCCGGCGAGGGGAGUGAAAAAGAACCUGAAACCGUGUACGUACAAGCAGUGGGAGCACAGAGCAAUCUGUGUGACUGCGUACCUUUUGUAUAAUGGGUCAGCGACUUAUAUUCUGUAGCAAGGUUAACCGAAUAGGGGAGCCGAAGGGAAACCGAGUCUUAACUGGGCGUUAAGUUGCAGGGUAUAGACCCGAAACCCGGUGAUCUAGCCAUGGGCAGGUUGAAGGUUGGGUAACACUAACUGGAGGACCGAACCGACUAAUGUUGAAAAAUUAGCGGAUGACUUGUGGCUGGGGGUGAAAGGCCAAUCAAACCGGGAGAUAGCUGGUUCUCCCCGAAAGCUAUUUAGGUAGCGCCUCGUGAAUUCAUCUCCGGGGGUAGAGCACUGUUUCGGCAAGGGGGUCAUCCCGACUUACCAACCCGAUGCAAACUGCGAAUACCGGAGAAUGUUAUCACGGGAGACACACGGCGGGUGCUAACGUCCGUCGUGAAGAGGGAAACAACCCAGACCGCCAGCUAAGGUCCCAAAGUCAUGGUUAAGUGGGAAACGAUGUGGGAAGGCCCAGACAGCCAGGAUGUUGGCUUAGAAGCAGCCAUCAUUUAAAGAAAGCGUAAUAGCUCACUGGUCGAGUCGGCCUGCGCGGAAGAUGUAACGGGGCUAAACCAUGCACCGAAGCUGCGGCAGCGACGCUGAUGCGUUGUUGGGUAGGGGAGCGUUCUGUAAGCCUGCGAAGGUGUGCUGUGAGGCAUGCUGGAGGUAUCAGAAGUGCGAAUGCUGACAUAAGUAACGAUAAAGCGGGUGAAAAGCCCGCUCGCCGGAAGACCAAGGGUUCCUGUCCAACGUUAAUCGGGGCAGGGUGAGUCGACCCCUAAGGCGAGGCCGAAAGGCGUAGUCGAUGGGAAACAGGUUAAUAUUCCUGUACUUGGUGUUACUGCGAAGGGGGGACGGAGAAGGCUAUGUUGGCCGGGCGACGGUUGUCCCGGUUUAAGCGUGUAGGCUGGUUUUCCAGGCAAAUCCGGAAAAUCAAGGCUGAGGCGUGAUGACGAGGCACUACGGUGCUGAAGCAACAAAUGCCCUGCUUCCAGGAAAAGCCUCUAAGCAUCAGGUAACAUCAAAUCGUACCCCAAACCGACACAGGUGGUCAGGUAGAGAAUACCAAGGCGCUUGAGAGAACUCGGGUGAAGGAACUAGGCAAAAUGGUGCCGUAACUUCGGGAGAAGGCACGCUGAUAUGUAGGUGAAGUCCCUCGCGGAUGGAGCUGAAAUCAGUCGAAGAUACCAGCUGGCUGCAACUGUUUAUUAAAAACACAGCACUGUGCAAACACGAAAGUGGACGUAUACGGUGUGACGCCUGCCCGGUGCCGGAAGGUUAAUUGAUGGGGUCAGCGCAAGCGAAGCUCUUGAUCGAAGCCCCGGUAAACGGCGGCCGUAACUAUAACGGUCCUAAGGUAGCGAAAUUCCUUGUCGGGUAAGUUCCGACCUGCACGAAUGGCGUAAUGAUGGCCAGGCUGUCUCCACCCGAGACUCAGUGAAAUUGAACUCGCUGUGAAGAUGCAGUGUACCCGCGGCAAGACGGAAAGACCCCGUGAACCUUUACUAUAGCUUGACACUGAACAUUGAGCCUUGAUGUGUAGGAUAGGUGGGAGGCUUUGAAGUGUGGACGCCAGUCUGCAUGGAGCCGGCCUUGAAAUACCACCCUUUAAUGUUUGAUGUUCUAACGUUGACCCGUGAUCCGGGUUGCGGACAGUGUCUGGUGGGUAGUUUGACUGGGGCGGUCUCCUCCUAAAGAGUAACGGAGGAGCACGAAGGUUGGCUAAUCCUGGUCGGACAUCAGGAGGUUAGUGCAAUGGCAUAAGCCAGCUUGACUGCGAGCGUGACGGCGCGAGCAGGUGCGAAAGCAGGUCAUAGUGAUCCGGUGGUUCUGAAUGGAAGGGCCAUCGCUCAACGGAUAAAAGGUACUCCGGGGAUAACAGGCUGAUACCGCCCAAGAGUUCAUAUCGACGGCGGUGUUUGGCACCUCGAUGUCGGCUCAUCACAUCCUGGGGCUGAAGUAGGUCCCAAGGGUAUGGCUGUUCGCCAUUUAAAGUGGUACGCGAGCUGGGUUUAGAACGUCGUGAGACAGUUCGGUCCCUAUCUGCCGUGGGCGCUGGAGAACUGAGGGGGGCUGCUCCUAGUACGAGAGGACCGGAGUGGACGCAUCACUGGUGUUCGGGUUGUCAUGCCAAUGGCACUGCCCGGUAGCUAAAUGCGGAAGAGAUAAGUGCUGAAAGCAUCUAAGCACGAAACUUGCCCCGAGAUGAGUUCUCCCUGACUCCUUGAGAGUCCUGAAGGAACGUUGAAGACGACGACGUUGAUAGGCCGGGUGUGUAAGCGCAGCGAUGCGUUGAGCUAACCGGUACUAAUGAACCGUGAGGCUUAACCUU